UACGAAGGGGGCUAGCGUUGCUCGGAAUCACUGGGCGUAAAGCGCACGUAGGCGGAUUGUUAAGUCAGGGGUGAAAUCCUGGAGCUCAACUCCAGAACUGCCUUUGAUACUGAGGAGCUCGAGUCCGGGAGAGGUGAGUGGAACUCCGAGUGUAGAGGUGAAAUUCGUAGAUAUUCGGAAGAACACCAGUGGCGAAGGCGGCUCACUGGCCCGGUACUGACGCUGAGGU
rnacentral:rRNA from 1 species